rnacentral:rRNA from 1 species
UGGGGGCAUCUAUAAUGCAAGUCGAGCGAAUGGAUUAAGAGCUUGCUCUUAUGAAGUUAGCGGCGGACGGGUGAGUAACACGUGGGUAACCUGCCCAUAAGACUGGGAUAACUCCGGGAAACCGGGGCUAAUACCGGAUAACAUUUUGAACCGCAUGGAUCGAAAUUGAAAGGCGGCUUCGGCUGUCACUUAUGGAUGGACCCGCGUCGCAUUAGCUAGUUGGUGAGGUAACGGCUCACCAAGGCAACGAUGCAUAACCGACCUGAGAGGGUGAUCGGCCACACUGGGACUGACCACGGCCCAGACUCCUACGGGAGGCAGCAAUAGGGAAUCUUCCGCAAUGGACGAAAGUCUGACGGAGCAACGCCGCGUGAGUGAUGAAAGCUUUCGGGUCGUAAAACUCUGUUGUUAGGGAAGAACAAGUGCUAUUGAAUAACCUGGCACCUUGACGGUACCUAACCAGAAAGCCACGGCUAACUACGUGCCAACAGCCGCGGGAAUACGUAGGUGGGGAACGGGAUCCGAAAUUAGUGGGCGUGGAGGGGCGCGCAGGUGUUUUCUUAUUCUGAGGUAAAAGCCCACGGGUCUACCG